rnacentral:lncRNA from 1 species
CACAUAUGCCCAAAAUUUUCUUCUCUUUCUCUCUUACAUGGAAAGUGGUUGUGGAUCAAGUCAAAGUAGGAAUUAGUUUGGAUUUCAAAUUCUUUGAGAUAGAGUUUUAGGAAACCAAAACUCUUUCCUUAUGGCACUGAUUUUAUCCAGAUUUUUUUUGAGAUUUUUGUGAAUUUUAUGUCACAUAAUAUGCACCCUUUGCUAGUAGUCUACACACAAAAAGAUAGAGAGGGUGCCUAAGAGUUGGGUGCCCCUUGUCUUGCCAUG